CGAUGGUUGGUUGGGGCGUGUUGAGAGGCGGAGAGAGCUAAGACGGAUGUUCAGCAGCAGGACAAAAAGGAUUUUGGAAGGAUGAGGUCGAAAGAUAAGGUUCACCCAGAGGACCACUGUCAAGGGUGUGUGUAUGCAGCGCUGUUGUAGCCAUGUGGUUCCAGCAUAUUAGAGAGACAAAGUGGGUGAGGGAAUAUCUUUUAUUGGACUAACUUCUGUUGGUGAGAGACACAAGCUUUCGAGCUUACACAGAGCUCUUCUUCAGGUGUGUGUGUGGUAAUUUUGGUCUAUCAGACUUGACUGUUCUUUCAAUGGCUCUAAUUUAUGGGAUUUGGAUUCUCCCAUUUCAAGUGGUGGUGGUUUGGGUCUCAUCCUACCAGCAUCCACUUGUGAGAGGGACACUCCACAUGGAUAUCCCCCCUCCCUGGUACAAAGCGGAUGGUGGGGGGUUGCCUCUGUGAUGCUGCAGCAUCUGCUGUCCCUCCCAUGCAUGGGAAGGGGAUAGGGUUGGAACCAGGGCAGGCACAUUGCUCCUUCAAGUGCCACAGACACUCCCCAUUAAUCCUAUUACAGCCCCAGGCUGGUUGGUGUUUGCAGCACAGAGGUCAAGUAUUAACUGGGCAUGGGGAAUAAUGCAGCCCCUCACCCCUCAUUCCCAGUAGCAGGGUCAAGUUUGUACUAACGUACCUCACUGCCUGUUGUGCAGGUAGGUACAAGCUGUGAUUUGGCAACGCUGCUAAUCCCUCACCUUUCAUCAGCACAAGAGUCACCCAGUGUUUGGAAGUAAGGGUUGCAUUGAAAUGGUGCCUGCGUUUAGGGUUAGGUUACGGGGACCACCAGCCAUUCACCUGGGAAGUGCUGAAGCAAGUCACAUGUUGUUCUGAGUCAGGGCCACAGGCCAUAGUUCUGCUAGCCAGAACAGAUACAGAAAGAGUAGCGUGCCUCUCUCCUUGCCGUCAUGGGAGCCCCAGAGCUUGUAAGUUCCUGUUUUCUGAUGUGUUUUUUAAAUAACACUUCACAGAAGAUAAAAUCCAAGGAGGAGCCUCAUGUCAAGCCUUCCUCCUCUCCUCAGUGUUUGGAAAUUCACUAGCAAGUGCUAUUGACAAAGCCCCGGCUCUGCACUCAAGUCCAGUAGAAAAUGCCCUGUCAGGCCACUUGUCACCUGAUGUCCUGAAAGCCUAUUGGAUUGUGUCACCCGUGUCUACCCUCUCCCUAUCCUCCCCAUAUCCAAUGUGACUUGUGAUUUUGCACAAUAAUUUCUGUGAUUAAAGGUUCAAUCCUGCAAGCACUUA